GCCAAUUAAUAAAUUAAUUCCUUCUAUUUCCAGGAUCCGCAACCUUUACAUCCCGGUGUUACACUUUCAAAGCAUAUUGAUUCAAAUUAUACAUUUCAAGUUAUAAAUAAUCUUUUUCACUUGGAUAUAUUGAUUGUAAUUAUUCAUGAACUCACAACUAGACUUAACUAUACUUUUAUACAAUGUUCUUUGACUGUGCAAUUACAAUAUGUCAUUUGAACGCUACCUAGCAUAGCUAGAGCUUUUCGAACAACUUCAAUAAGUACUUCUUCCUCUUUCCUUUGUCUAUCCCAAAUCCUUCGAUCCGCUUUGGUUUAGCUGAAAACAAUUAUUUAUAGCAAGGGUGAGCAACUACGUUGCCCAACAAGUUUAACAGUUAUCGCAUAACACAUAGUUCGCAUUUUAAACACAACUUAAAUAAUUCAAACUUCGCAGUUUAUACAUAAAUUCAUGUUUUUCAUACAUUGCAUUUAUUCAGGCAUCAUAAUGCUCAUACUCAGCAAUUAUACCUACUUCACGCUUAUCAUGUUCCUCAUAUCAUGAAUAUAAUAAGUUUCCAUAACUCAGUCCACAUCAAUCAUUAAUUUGAUUCAAUAGAUUUAUAUCACAGUAUAGCGCAUCUCAAUUUAUUCACAAGGAGUACAUAUAAUACAUGGAGUAUGUACACAUUACAAUUAACAAGUUCACAUAUAAAAACAAGUUCUGAAAAACUUGCCUGUACCGGAGUUUUACCAUUACACCAACUUUUGCGUUCCUUGCACAACCUACAUUAUAUGUGGGAUUGAUAACAAAACACAUUAUCAGUCAAAGUUUGACUAUUAGUGUGAUCCUUAUCUUAACUUAUUAUCUUCCGUGUAUCCUUUUUAUAUCUAAUAAUAUAGACUUUCAACUUCAUUAUUUAUAUAGCUCGAUUUUAUUUCCCUUUUAUCACCACAUGUGCUAGCUUAUCGCACUUGUAGUUUACGUACUGUGUGUGUAUCACACCAUUACAACAUAUCAUACUUGGUUAAACAUUUCUCAUCUAGGUUCCUUAGACUUAGAUUAUGCGGAAAGCAUUCGUUCAUCACUUUGUAACCAUUCACUUAAUAGUACCUUACAUUAAUCUUGUAAUGUGUCUAUCCCAGUUAACAAAAUAAUAAAAAUUUCCAAGUUCCACUUUCACACUUUUUGGGUUGUCCAAAAAAUGUUACGCAACGAUUACAUAUUUGGACUCUACACGAAAAACUGAGCAACAUAUAAAAAAAUUACAUGACGCCCAAAAAUUGACUCGGCGAACCAAAAUGGCUUGGCAUGCCAAAAACAGCACAACCAUUGCCCAGACAGCCCACACACUGCCCAGACUGCAGAACAAAAUCUGGAAAUUUUAGAUUUUGUGAUUUUCGGGCUAGUUUUACGAAUUUUUAUCUCACUCGUUAUACAUCGGAUUAAAGCCAUUUUCGGAUAUGUUCUACCUCAUACUACGUAGUAUUUUUAAAAAAUAUAACAUUCAUGAAAAGAGUUUGGAAAGGCUUCGAAACAGUGGCCUGAAACAGCCCAUACACAGCAGUUUCAGACUUAAAAAAAUUCAUGGUUUCUGCAGUUUCAGUGAUUUUCUAUGCUACUUUGGGAAUUUUUAUGAAUUUUUGUAUUAGGCUUUUAGCUUGUAGAUCUGGACAUGCUUAUAGAACAUAUAUCAAACUAUUUUUCUACUGGUUUAGGUCAUUAAGCAAGCAACUUAAGCUUCCUCAAACUGAUGCCCAAACAAGGCUACUCACCACAGUUUUUUAGUAUUCUUAACUUUGGUCAAUUCUUGCCAAACUCAUUUCUGGCCACUUGGGCUCAUUCCAACACUUGAGUUACUACUAGUUAAGACUAUUUUUAGCAUUCCCCUGACCUUGCUAUGCAUAGAUAUGGUUUUGACCCUCUAAACCUAACAUUUUCAAGCUUUAACCUACUAAUUUCUCAUUCUCUUAUAUAAAUUAGCAUUCCAACACUUGGAAUGGUCUAAUAUACUUUUAACUCACUUUCUUAAGAUGUUAAAACUAAUCUUUAAGCAAAAUGGCAAAAUCUCAAAUUUCCAUACUUAGAAAAAUCUGCAGAAAACUGCAGUUUACAUGAUUUUCUUAGCUUGUUUGGUGAUUUUUAUGAAUUUCUUGGUUAAGCUAUUGGCUCAACCACUUGGCCCUGCUUCUAGAUCAUACUUCAAGGUAUUUUAAUCAAGUUUUAGGUUUCUUAUUCAUUUCAUUUAAGCUUCUCAAAACAGUGCCUCAAACUGGCCUGUUUUCUAACUUUUUGCAAAAACUGUUAUUAACACUUUUAUCAUUUUUCUCCAGUUUUGGCUACUUGGAUAGUCUAGACAUGUGUAUUUUAGUUAGUUAAGGACACUUUUAGCAUCACCACACUUUAUUUAAUCAUCUAGCCAACUUUGACCUAUCUAAGCUUACUUUAGGCUUGAAAAAACUUGGUCUUCUUACUAGCUUUGGUCAUGGCAAUGAUUGGUAACCAUUAUAAGCAUCCAUUAGCAUCUUUAUAUGAGUGUAUUACAGUCCUUUAAGUUCAGGUAUUAAAAAUUACACAAAACAGUCCACUUUUGGGCUUAAAAUGUGAUUUUUCACAAGUCUAAUGCUCAAAACAGCUUAGGCUUGGUUUCUUUAGCUUGUGUAGCUUACUUAUGCCAUAUUAUAACUAUUGAAACUUGCCUAUAUGGUCCAGGUAUGGUGGUUCUUCACUUAGGUGCUAAUUUCUAUUUUAAAGCUUACUUUCAUUGGUUUUUAGAUAUGAAUUUGAACCACACAUAACAUAGACCUUAAUUAAAUUAAGGAACACCUUUUAAAUACCCCUUAUGGACAUUUCAUGGUCUCUUUACUGACUCAUAAGUUCAGGUACUGAACUUGACCAAAACAGUCCCCAAAUUUGGAUUUUUAGCACAGUUUUGCCUAUUAAAUAUUAAACAGUUCCAUAACAAGACUAAGGGAACUUCUAGGCAUUCAAAUAAACUUCACACAUCAUUAAAACUUAUCACCAUGAACCUUAAUAAGCUUGCACAGUCAGUCUAAUAUCUGACACCAAAACAGUGCACACACACAAGGCACUUUAGGCAUGGUUUUAACACCUCAAGUUCAGGUUCUGGCCUUUUAAUUCAUUGAGACACAUGUAUUUUGAUCACAUGAGACUUAUUAUUUCAUAACCUUGCCUUGUAUAAUAGCUUAGCAUAUUUUUGGCUUUUAAAACUUACUUUACAUAGCAUAUACACAUGAAGCUCUACAAGUUUGCUAGCUUAUGACUUUGCUGCACUUUUGCUACCAUUUCUGGCAUAUUUUUAUGCCACAAUAUAAGCUUCUAUCUAUCUAAUAUGGCCAGGUUUAAUAGAUUGCCAUAGCAGUCCCAAACUUAGAAUGUUAAGCAUGGAUUUGGCAUGGUAACUCAAAACAGCCUCAAGUUUAGUUAAGAUGAAUGUUGAAGCACCUUUAGAACAUGUAAUUGUGAAGAGAGAUGCAUUCACGGCUGGAGUUUAAUCAAUUCUUAGCUAACACAAAACAGCCCUCUUUUUACUUAAGUUUUAAGCUUGAAACCUCUUAGCUUUUCAAGUUAAGCAUAUCCAUUCUCCUUUUAGCAUAUAAGCAUAUACAUGGGAUUAUUAUCUUAGUAUAUGACAUGGUUUUGGACUUUGUUUGCAUAGCUAACAUGCCUUUAGCACAUAGCAGUCAACAUUUAGGCAUUUUAUCAAACAUGUAGAGUGCAGUCCAUAUAUAUACAUAUAGUACAUAUAUUUCUAGCUCUUUGACCCCAGCCUUAUGGCUUUAAUUUACCUAGCAUGACAAAAACAAAUCAUAGCCACAAUUAGGCCUUAUGGCAGUUAACAUAUCAACAAGAAAUUUAGAAUAUCUAUCAUUAUAAUAGUAAACAGCCUUGUAUGGCCAUUCCAGUUUCUCUUCAAAAUUGAAGUGGGAAUGAAAUGAAUAAGGAUCUAAAUUAACUCACCCUUGAUAACUUGAUGAUUGGGUUGGCUUUGUUGCUGAUAAUCUCCUCCCUCUCCAACUGGAAUCACUUUCUCUUCUUCACUAAAUAUGCUUUUGGAGCUCAAAUAAGUGGUGUAACCAUCUGAACUUGGGUGAAACAUUGGGGUUAUAUGGUUCAGUUUUCUAUCUUCAGUCAGUCACCUUCCUGACCACUUAUAAGCUUGGCCCCUAUUCUUCUCCAUCAUUACCCUACCCGGUAUUAGCUUCAAUUCAGCCCCUCUAACUUGCCUCCUAUCAGUCUACUCAUAGCAGUUAGUUGGCCCCUAUAACUACCUGACACCCUUGGUCUUCGCAGUGUACUUGACCCCUAAUAGCCAACCUAUGCACUCUAGGUUCCAACUAACUUGCUAACCACUUGCUAAUUGACUAAACUAGUAAUUAGCUUCUAACUGGCAGCUCAUUUUAACUAACUAAUUGGCUGACUAAUGUUUUAACUAACUGAAUUGCCAAAGCCAUCUAUUGCUAUUUAAAUAACACUAAAACAGCCCCCUUUGCUAUCCCC
rnacentral:lncRNA from 1 species